GGAGGAGAGCCGGUCGGGCUCCGCACACACACAGGAGAUCUCCGGGGAGGAUGGGGUAGGGAGCCGGGAGAGCCGGGCUGGUAGAGGCGGAAGAAGACAUGGAGGUGGAAUGUGCUAUGGAGGUCAUGGAGAGCGACAACCCCGAGCAGGAGGAAGACUUCCCUGCUCCGGAGUUUCCUAUUUUUUCCACUCCAGAUAUGGGGGAGGAUGCCGCGGUCUACAUGGAAUUCAUGAUGAAGAGCCCGUGUUAUGACGCCAUCCCUACAAGCUGCAAGCUGGUCGUGUUUGACAUCACGCUACAGAUAAAGAAAGCCUUUCUAGCGUUGGUGGCCAAUGGGGUGCGAGCGGCCCCUCUCUGGGACAGCAAGCAGCACUGCUUUGUGGGGAUGCUGACCAUCACAGACUUCAUCAAUAUCCUCCACAGAUACUACAAGGCUCCCAUGGUUCAGAUCUAUGAACUGGAGGAGCAUAAAAUCGAGACCUGGAGAGAAGUUUACCUGCAGAGUUGUUUCAAGCCGCUGAUCUAUAUCUCACCUACAGACAGCUUGUUCCAUGCCGUCUAUUCCCUGAUCAAGAACAAGAUCCACCGGCUGCCGGUCAUGGAGCCCGUAUCGGGAAACAUCCUGCACAUCCUCACACACAAGAGGCUGCUGAAAUUCCUCCAUAUGUUUGGGGGCUCCAUUCCUCGGCCUCGAUUCAUGCAGAAGACCAUGUUGGAGCUGGGCAUCGGGACCUUCAGGGACGUAGCCGUUAUACAUGAAUCAUCCAGCAUAUACAGCGCCCUGGAGAUCUUUGUAGAGAGAAGAGUGUCUGCCCUCCCCGUGGUGAACGAAGCCGGACAAGUUGUUGGUUUGUACUCCAGAUUCGACGUCAUACACUUGGCAGCACAAAAGAUCUACAACAACCUGGACAUAACAGUGGGCGAGGCUUUACGGCGACGUAGCUUGUCCCUGGAGGGUGUCCUGAUGUGUUACCCCCAUGAGACCCUGGAGACGGUGAUAGACCGCAUAGUAAAGGAGCAGGUUCAUCGGUUUGUACUGGUGGAUGAAGAACGCCGACCCCGUGGAAUUGUGUCACUGUCGGACAUCCUCCAGGCCCUGGUUUUAACCCCCGCAGGUAUUGAUGCCCUUAAUUCCUAACCCUGGGAAGGCUCUUUUCUACCUUCACCCUGCGCCUCCUCCUCCUCUCUAAGGCUCAGGUUUAGACCGAAAUAACUUGUUGUGACAGAUUGGCCAGAUCAGCGAUCGAUCGGACAUUGGUCUCUCUGGGAUAGGUUGAUGAUCCUUUCUGUGUCUUGGGGGAAAUGUGAAAAUCCCUGGAGAGGCCGGGUUGGGCGAGGCAGAAAUCCGAAACACUUGGAAGGAACGCUACAUUUCCAGUUGAUGUCCCAGAGAUGCCUCCUUAUUUAUUUAAAUCGAGAUUAUUAACUUGAUCUUCUCAAACACAAUCCAGCCAAUCAGAGACUGCGAACCAAGUCUUGGACCGUGGAGGAGAUGGAUUAUGGUGAACACUGUGAACGUUGAGAAAUAGACUUUGGUAGUUAUUUAAGCCUA